UACAGAGGAUGCAAGCGUUAUCCGGAAUGAUUGGGCGUAAAGCGUCUGUAGGUGGCUUUUUAAGUCCGCCGUCAAAUCCCAGGGCUCAACUCUGGACAGGCGGUGGAAACUACCAAGCUGGAGUACGGUAGGGGCAGAGGGAAUUUCCGGUGGAGCGGUGAAAUGCGUAGAUAUCGUCUGGAACGCCAAAGGUGAAAACAGCUCGCUGGGGUUGUGCUGACGCUGAAACACGAAAGCCAGGGGAGCGAACGGG
rnacentral:rRNA from 1 species